GAACUGAACCAGCCGCUAGGUGCUUCGCGCGAAGCGAAGAGAAUAGGGAAACCGGUGUAAAUCCGGUGCGGUCCCGCCACUGUGAACAGGAUAGACGCCUUUGCUACGAGGCACGUAUUGCAAUCCACUGCCGUAGGGUGGGAAGGAUGCGACACGAACCUGUGAGCCAGGAGACCUGCCUAGCUGCUUACGAGCCA
rnacentral:ncRNA from 2 species